AAGAGGUGAGCCUUUCCACAAACUUGAAAUAGCGGCAUUAUUAAAUUUAAGUAUCGUGUGUUUGGUGAACAAAGUGAAAUAAACAAAGCUUAAGACCAUGGCGUGGACCCCCUCUGGUCAAUUCUUGCUGGCAUAGGCAGAUCUCAGUUUCAAUUUGCUAAUUGGACAUAGAGUUGCCACAAGAACCAAAUGCUUAGUACGAUGUUGAUGCCAAAGUUCCAAAAAUAUAACGGUACAAG